UACGAAGGGGGCGAGCGUUGUUCGGAAUUACUGGGCGUAAGGGCGCGUAGGCGGCGACCCAAGUCAGAUGUGAAGUCCUGGGCUUAACCUGGGGACUGCAUUUGAUACUGGGUUGCUUGAAUUCGGGAGAGGAUAGCGGAAUUCCCAGUGUAGAGGUGAAAUUCGUAGAUAUUGGGAAGAACACCGGUGGCGAAGGCGGCUCACUGGCCCGAUACUGACGCUG
rnacentral:rRNA from 1 species